ensembl:lncRNA
GAGAGGAGUGAGAAGGAGAAGCGAGAGAGGUACAUUGCAGCAGCGUUUGCCAUCUCGGCACGCUCCGCCAGGAGACUGAGAAAGCAAAAGGAGAACCGGCAGCUCCGCCCGGGGAGCCCGGGGUCCGGCGUAAAGGGGCGAGGAGGAGGAGGGCGUAGGAGGUGCCUAGCUGGGGUUGGGGUACCGCGGCGGGGGCAGCGCGCGCAGCAGCAGCAGCAGCAGCAGCAGCGUUAUUCCGGGUUCCUCCUUCUGGGGAAGAGAUCAUCUAUUAUCACCAUUCUCUCCCAGAGCCCCAGGGAGGGGACUGCGGAAGGGAGGAGACUAGGAAGGGGGGUGGGGGGAAUCGGGAGCGAGGGGGCAGUGCUGAGAACCUAGGAGAAACACCAGAGGGGAAGCAGCAGCCACAGCAGCAGCUAACCAGGGAGAAAGGGAAGAAAGGAGAUCAGACAAAGGAGAAUACCCGCUAUAAAACUGGGAAAAAAACUAUAAAACUAUGUUCUGUUGCACAAUGGGCCAGAAAGGAGAGAAACCUUAGUUGGAAGAAGCAAGGGGAGAAAUCUCUAGGACCAAUGGAAGAAUAGAAAGAAGGUGUGAGGAGCCACCUGGGACUGACAAGUGUUGCCUAGGGGUUAUAUCAGCAAAAGUUCCUGAUCAGCAAAAGUGGCAACUCCACUGACAACUGGUAGGAAAAAGGAUAACAGUUGUAUCCCUCGUGAACAAGACAAUUCUUUUAUAUUUUCCUGGUGGUCCAGAAAUAAGAUUCUUUGGAAAAAGAAGCUAAAACAGAAAACACAUCUUAACUUUCUUUAUACAAUUGCCUGCAUGAGAAGCCUGAGUUCUAGGAAAGAAAAAAAGCCAAUCAUCUUGUCAGGACAAAUUGUAUAUUUAUUGGGCUGAGAAUAGUUCUUUGUGGAGUAUCUGGAGCUGUGAUUUGAAAACUUCACUGAUACUUUAUUUGCACUUUGGAUCGUAAGCAUGAGUGAGUUCUGGUUGUGUUUCAAUUGCUGUAUUGCAGAGCAACCUCAGCCUAAAAGGAGACGGAGGAUUGACCGAAGCAUGAUAGGCGAGCCAACAAACUUUGUUCACACAGCUCAUGUAGGAUCAGGUGACCUGUUCAGUGGAAUGAAUUCAGUUAGCUCCAUACAGAACCAAAUGCAAUCCAAAGGAGGUUAUGGAGGUGGAAUGUCUUCAAAUGUCCAAAUGCAGCUUGUAGAUACAAAGGCAGGAUAACCUUGGGAGCAUUUUCAGUUCAUGUGAAUUUCCAUAGUUCUUCUUUCUACUGUUUUGUUUUUGUUUAUUUGGAGUUUUUUGGUUUUUGGAAUUGUUUUGGUUUGGGACUUGGGGGGGAGGGGGCCCUUGAGACUACUUUCAUGCUUAUUUUAAGAAAGAAAUGUGAUAUGGGACCUUGUUCAACCUCUUGUGAUUACUUCAGUGAAAAGUUACUGUUAUGCUCCAAAGAAGCUGUUUGUAAAAGUGGAUCUUGUCAUGCCUUCCACUGGCAUGCAUGUUGUUGGCUUCUACCAAAAUAAUCGAUAAAUAGUAGACUGGGUUGUGAUUUUAUAUUUUAGAUAUUUUUUCAAGUUUGAAUAAAUAGGCAACUGAUUUUAGCAUGACAUUUUCCUCUAAUCACUACUAUACAGCAUAAGUUUGCCAAUUUUUUUACUUAAAAAAAGAAGCUUUUCUGUCCCUUCUACUCUUCUUGUUGUAAUUUUAGGUCCCAAGCAUGACAUGUUAUAAUUUUUUAUUUAUAUAUUUGGGGAAAGUCUAGGACCCACAAGCACAAUGAUCAUUUUCCCAUUUGUUUAAAGCCUGGCAAAGUAAAUGCCUGUGCUUUAUAAAGUUGCCUCUUUGGUGCCAGAAAUAAAAUUGCUCAUUUGCUGCAGCUUUUGUUGCUGCUAGUGGAGAAAAUUUAAGUAUGGCGCUAUAGUCAUAUCAGUAUCACCGAAAAGGAUAAUUUAGCUGCUUUAAAAUGAUGUCCCUUUUAGUUCUAUUUGAUCUUGAAAUAAAACAAAAGCUUGCAUUCAUAAGACAUUCUGUUGUAAAUGUUAGUAUAUUUAUUUUAAGAGAACUGACCUCAAGAUUGUAAACUAGUGUAGUAACAUAUGUAAAUAACAUAUGAUAGUACUUUCCUCCAGUCAGUUUUCAAGUGGUGUUGCACUAGCUACACAUUUCUUUUUACCUUCCCUUCCUUUUUUGCUUUUUAUGUUGACUUUUAGACUGUCCAUCAGCAGAAUGUUGAACUGCCUAUCUGUGUUAUUAAUAGCAGUUCAAUGAACCUCUCAACGUAGUUGGUAAGUUUUUUUUUUUUUUUCCUAAGUGUUUCCAGGCCAUGUUAAGUUGCUAAUAGCAACAUAUUGACCUGGCAGAAUAGAAACUAUGGAAAACAACUUACAGGGUGACUUUUUACUGUUGGUAAGAAGCCUUUUGCUCAGGUUCCAAAGCAUAUUCAUCUUUCACAAAUUGUAAAAAGUAAAUUUGAAUAUUGCACUAUCUUCAAAUUCUAGAAAUGGUUCCUCCUUCUUCCAUUAUCCCCAUUCCAUACUUUCAUAGUUAUCUGAAAACAAAGUCAUUAAUUUCAUUCUCUCUUGAUUUUUUAAAAUUAUUCAUACAAUUCACCUCCAUGUUUGUCUGAUACGGUUAUCUAACAAUAGGGCAAAAUUGAGCUAAACCAGAGUGCCACCAAUAAGUUGGAAAUUAAAUGAAUGCAAAGAAGUAAAUUUUUAUACGGUAUUCAUAUUUCCAUCUAAACCUCACUUCCUUCUGAAACAACUAAUUAAAUAAGUGCUAGAUAUGUGAUGGCACUAGAUAGUAUCUUCUCCCUGGUAAUUUACAAGUUAAUUCACUGGAAAUGAAGUAGCCAUCUGAUUACACUUACAUAGUUAUACCUGCAGAGUGGUCAAAUGUAGUAGAUUUAAGUAAAAGAAACAGAUUGUUGAUUCUUUGGAUUCAUGAUUUCAAAUGGUGUCCAAGAUCCUUUCUAUUAAUAUAAUUUGCUCCUUGGAAUUUGACGUAAGAAAAUCAUUGUCAGUAAUGCGUUUUUGGAAAUGGAAUCUUGUAUUUGAUUUGAUGAUCCAACUGUGUAUCUAUGACUACCACACUGACCCCAGCAUUUUUUCCAUAGCACUAUUUGAUAUAUUCGGCUCUGCAGUGCAUUAUCAUUUCACACUUUAUCAGAAUAUGCGCACUUUAAGACUGGUGCUUUUUGCAACAGAGAAUAGCUACAUUCCAACUACUCUGCUUCUACUGUUUCUCUUAGAAGUACCAUUGAAAUUCUUCAGAUUCAUACAAAGUAUAAUGUGUAGAGUGCAGUACUGUCUGGGCAAAAGGCUUUGGACCAUAGGAAGUGCUGUCACUUCUGCAGGAUGAGCAGCACUAUCAGCAGAUCUUGACUGUGUAUUGCUCCUGAGGGUUGAAUUAGAACAGCAGGAGAAGCCAGGUCUCUAUAGUCAUUGUCUCUUCAAAAUCAUAGGUUUUCUUCCCUUGAUUGAUGUUAAGAUAGGUAUUUGGGUCAGUCAUCCCUCCCAUUCCUGUCGUAGUUCAGUCACAUCUGACUCAUCAUGACUCCAAAUGAGGUUUUCUUGGCAAAGAUACUGGAGUGGUUUUGCCAUUUCCUUCUCCAGCUCAUUUUAUAGAUGAGGAACCUGAAGCAAACAGGGUUAAGUGACUUGCCCAGGGUCACACAUCUAGUAAAUGUCUGAGGCUGAAUUUGAACUCCAGCCCUCUCGCUCUCUCCACUGUGCCACCUGGCCACUCAUAGAGCCAUUCCUGAUCCAAAGGAAUAAAUGUUCCAGAAGACAUAAUGUGAGCUUCCAUUUCUAAGCAAGAACUGAAUUUCUCAUUCCUUAGCUUUCCAAACUGCUAUAUGGCCUCUCUAAUGAUACUAUUAAAAUAACUCUGUAUGGUUGUGCCAGGGAGACUAUUAUAAUUAAAUCAUGGAUCAGAAAACUCACUAAAAAUAUUGAACCAUAUUUUCUAGAGUUUUUCAAUACAUAAAAAGAAAAAUUGAGACUGGCUUUAAUGAUUGAUUAAUUAAAAGUUUAGAUGCAUUUUAAAAAUUGAUUAAAUUAUGUCUAUGGCCAAACAUUUCUCUUGUGGUAAAGCAUCUCCUUUUGAAAUAUAAGCUAAUAAAAAAAUAGAGUCCAUUUACAUCAAAUUUAGUUUUUAGUCAACUUUAAUAAAAUGCAUAAUUUUAAAAUUUGGAACUAACAGUUAAAGAUUAACUCACAUAGUAUUACAAGAAUAAUUCAGCUUAAAAUGGUGCCAAUAUAUGAAAACCAGAAUUAUUAUGGUUCAGUGAUUGAGAGUGUGUUAGGAAGAAGGGAGUUCAGAAAGAGAAGAUAGUUAUUUCCAACGCAAUUUUUGCCAUUGGGUCUUUCAAAACAAGUUUUGUGAUUAUAAUAUUUUUUCCUUUUGCCACCAAUUAUCAACUAAAAUAGAUUCAAAACUUACUCUCAUCAGAUGUCCUCUGAUUUAGUGUCCAGAAAAAAAAAUUGGGAUAUUUUUAUAACAUACUUUAUAGCAUACAUUUUUUUGUAAACUAUGUUCAUUUUUGAAUAAUGUCAUUCCCGUGUUGGCUUGUAGAUAUUAAAGUGAAAGUAAUGACGAUUCAAUAAAUGUUUUCUUUUGGUUUCUGGUUUACUUUUUUCAUUCUUUUCAUGCACCUGUGUUCACAUAUAUAACUUUUUUUAAAAUGGGUUUCUUAUCCUUUCAUUUUACAGCCACUGCCAUUAAAAACUUGCUUAACCAAUUUUUAAAUAAUAUAUCCUUUUUUCUGUGUUUCCCCCCAAAAAAGAAACCAAAACUUGAUGGUAAAUUCUCAUUAGAAAUGGAUUAUUUAUUUUAUAAUUAAGAAGUAAUUAUGGCAUGAUGGAUUUGAUUUUAAAAAUGCGAAAACCUGGAUACAAGUCCUAUUCCUAACCUAUACUUGUUAUGAGAACGCUGAGCAAGUCACUUAACUUCUCAGCACUUAAGACAAUUCUUAUACCCCUAAGUCAACAGAGAUGAUGCUGAUCUACACUGAUAGGUGGAGUCUCCUCCUCCUAGAAUUUGCUAUACCAAUGAAAUCUUAAAUCUAGCACCUAUCUCUAGCACUUGGCUUAAGCAAAUGCUUGCCCCAUACUUCAUAUUUCUAUCUGAGUAGCAGAAAAGGGUAUAGUGACUUGACA